rnacentral:rRNA from 1 species
UCCGUAGGCGGUAUAGUAAGUGGGAUGUGAAAUCUCCGAGCUCAACUUGGAAACUGCAUUCCAAACUGCUAAACUAGAGUACCUUAGAGGCGCGUGGAAUUCUUGGUGUAAGGGUGAAAUCUGCAGAUAUCAAGAAGAACACCUGUGGCGAAGGCGACGCGCUGGGGGGAUACUGACGCUGAGGGACGAAAGCUAGGGUAGCGAACG